UUGUUUGCUUAAGCUAUGAUGCACAUAUGCUCUUGUUAUUGCAGCGACUUGUGAAGGUCGAUACAUUGUAAGCUCGAACCAUCAAAUUGGAUGAGACAACAGCAAGGAAUUCCCAGAUGUUGAGCCAUUCCAAAAAUCAAAAUCCUAUGCUAAUGCUCACUCCUUACAAAUGCUAUGCACAAUCAUUUUCGGACUGAUCCAUACUCAAUGACCACCCUUGGAUCCACAUGCUUCAAGAUAUCCACCAUACUCAUGGCCUGAAAGUUCUUUCAUCGGACCCGAGAGAGCACUGGGCUUAACAUAGAGGGCAGAAAACAAAGCAAGGUACAAUUAAGUCUACUCUCUCGGUGCUGAGACACCUUGCUUCAGCCUCUUCAUCUUCUUCUUGGAGACGUGCUUUUUUUUCCUUGGUGGAAGUCUCUUCUGAGCAUGUGCAAAAUUACAUAUGAUGGCCUGUUCAAAGUGGAUUCCUCAAAUUCUCUUCCUAAUGAAAGGGUGAGUUAGAAGGUGAUGUUGGGGUAAAAAAAGGUCUAAUGUUACAUAUGCAGAUGUCCUUGGGAUAGGGAAUGGGAAUCUUUUCCUUUAUUAAUUUGGUUGUCAAGAAAUGGAUAGAAAAUAGUAGAAAAAAUUCCAAAAAAAUUUAAAAAAUUGAAUUUGAGGACACACACACAUAAGCCAAUCAUUGCAUAUUAUACCAUUUUAUCGUCAUGAUGCAAUGACUAGAUUAUGUGUCUAUCUCUAUUCUCAAAUUCAAAAAUUUUUAAAUUAUUUCUUUUUAGUUUCUAUC